AUUGAACGCUGGCGGCAUGCUUUACACAUGCAAGUCGAACGGCAGCGCGGGCUUCGGCCUGGCGGCGAGUGGCGAACGGGUGAGUAAUGCAUCGGAACGUGCCCAGUAGUGGGGGAUAGCCCGGCGAAAGCCGGAUUAAUACCGCAUACGACCUGAGGGUGAAAGCGGGGGACCGAAAGGCCUCGCGCUAUUGGAGCGGCCGAUGUCGGAUUAGCUAGUUGGUGGGGUAAAGGCUUACCAAGGCGACGAUCCGUAGCUGGUCUGAGAGGACGACCAGCCACACUGGGACUGAGACACGGCCCAGACUCCUACGGGAGGCAGCAGUGGGGAAUUUGGGACAAUGGGGGCAACCCUGAUCCAGCCAUGCCGCGUGCGGGAAGAAGGCCUUCGGGUUGUAAACCGCUUUUGUUCGGGAAGAAAUCCUCUGGGCUAAUACCCCGGGGGGAUGACGGUACCGGAAGAAUAAGCACCGGCUAACUACG
rnacentral:rRNA from 1 species